rnacentral:rRNA from 1 species
AUGCCACCUUCCGUGCACGACACGGAAGGCCUGCCGUUCAUGAAGCAUGGUUGUGUCUUCAGUGCGCACCGCCGGAUGAACGACAUGCUGGGACACGCUAUCCCUGAUUUAUGCCGCUUCAGCUUGGAUGAGUCUCCAUCGUGUGGAACCGGACUAGAAAGCUGCGACAAUGAUUCCCGUUGCCCAGCACUAUGGAUCGUGCCAUCCAUGAAGAACACCUGGGACUGGAACCUGGAGGAGGACAUCAGACGCAAAUGCGCUGGCCUUCAUGAUUCCAGGACCUGGAAUCAUACCAGCCGAUGGUACCAUAAAACUGGAAUUAACCGAUGCAAGUCGAAGAAGGAUUGGCCGGUGCUGCCGGCUGGCGUCAAGUUCGAUCCCACGGAUCAGGAGCUGAUCGAGCACCUUGAGACCAAAGUGAGUGCUGACAGCGCGAGAUCUCACCCUCUCAUCGAUUUGUUCAUACCAACCAUCGACAGCGAGCAAGGCAUAUGCUACACCCAUCCUGAGAAACUUCCAGACCUGUCGGAGUGCGGCAUGCACGCGAUAUGGCACAACACCGGCAAUACCUUGCCGGUGAUGGUCAACGGCCGGCAGACGGGCAGCAAAAAGGUUCUGGUGCUGCACACCAACAAGAACUUCGACCAGCAGAGGACCAACUGGGUGAUGCACCAGUACCACCUCGGGGACCUGGAGCAAGAGAAGGAGCGGGAGCUGGUCCUCUGCAAGAUUUUCUACCAGACGAACACUAGGGCCAGGAGUAAAAAGAUUAUAAGUCGAGCAAGUUUCAACUGGGCUGUAGACUGCCCAGGCUUGGUUUUGUUUUUAACAGGCCCAGCCCAUGACGACAACGGGGCACAAAAAUCCAGCAGUUUUACUAGUUCAUACACCGUAUCAUUAUAUUGA